rnacentral:misc_RNA from 1 species
GAAAUGCGAUAAGUAAUGUGAAUUGCAGAAUUCAGUGAAUCAUCGAAUCUUUGAACGCACAUUGCGCCCGCCAGUAUUCUGGCGGGCAUGCCUGUUCGAGCGUCAUUACAACCCUCAGGCCCCCGGGCCUGGCGUUGGGGAUCGGCGGAAGCCCCCUGCGGGCACAACGCCGUCCCCCAAAUACAGUGGCGGUCCCGCCGCAGCUUCCAUUGCGUAGUAGCUAACACCUCGCAACUGGAGAGCGGCGCGGCCACGCCGUAAAACACCCAACUUCUACAUGUUGACCUCGAAUCAGGUAGGAAUACCCGCUGAACUUAAGC